GACUUUGGACUAGUCCUGGCAGCUGCAAAGUUAUUUUCAUCGGCUUCUGACCCAGGCCCUCCCUGCAGGGCACAGGUGCCUGAGAAUGUACCCCUGUCUCUGCUCACAAGGUGAGCAAGGGGGGCUGGAAGACAAGCUCUCUCUGGACUCCUGGCAAGACUUCUAGAAAGUCCUAGCUGCUAAUUUCCUUGGCAGCCUAGGAGUCAAGGGUCUGAGGCAGCACUCAGGGCUUGAAAUGAAAUGAAGCUCAUUUACUGAGCAUCUAGGAUAUGCCAGAAGUUUUCUCUUCAUUUGUCUCAUUCUUCCUCACAGUAAUCCAAAUAAAUGUUUUCUUUUGUCAUUGAAACGGAGACCCUAACAGAGCAAGAGGCCUGACCUUCACACCUAUGUAACCCAAGGUCACAGAAAUGCUGAGGGGCCAUGUGACUCCAGUGAAGCAGGAGUAUCCAUCCAGCCACAGAGAUGGGACCUGUCCAAAUGGGACCUGUCUGUUCCAAAGGUUAUUCUGCUUGUGCUGGUUAAUUAACCAAUCAUAAAGAAAAGAUGAAA
rnacentral:lncRNA from 1 species